rnacentral:rRNA from 1 species
AUGGCCUCCCCCUCGGAUGCCAACUCUGCCACGAGCGGAGGCACUUCGGCGGCCGCAAACCCCGCUUUGGAAGAUUUCCUCGAUCAACUGGAUCUGAACGACGAGGAGUUCAAUGAUGUGGAGAUUGAUGAAGAGGAUCCCGAAAUCAAAGAAAGCGUUCGGUGGCUAGCCCUAGCUAGGGUUCACACCGAUAAGAAUUUCUCGCAGGCAGCCUUCUAUAAGGAUAUGAGGGCGGCCUGGAAUCCAGCGCAUCGGGUAAGAUUUCGCCCGGUCGGACCUAACAGAUUCGUUGUCCAAGCUUCAUGCCUGGGCGACUGGGAGCGGAUGAUGAUGCAAGGCCCUUGGCUCUUCCGCAACAUGGCGGUUCUGAUGUGUUCGUAUGAUGGUUUCACCAAAGCGGACGAUGUGGUUUUGCAUAUGCCCAUCUGGUUACAGAUACAUAAACUUCCGGAUCCUUACUGCAGGCAGGGUAUUGUGGAGCGGCUCCUAAAGGGGGCGGGCGAAAUCUUGGAGAUGCGUUUGAACGGCAAUACCCGCGGGUACUAUAUUAGGGUUAGGGUAAACCACGACAUCAAGCAGCCUCUUACAAAGUUUGUGAGCAUUGUUCGGGCGCAGGAGAGACAGGUUUAUCUGGUGCGGUAUGAGAAGUUGGUCCGUUUUUGCAGUUUUUGUGGUCGGAUAGGACAUGAGCAUAAGGAGUGCGGAUCUGGUGUUCAUGAUAAGCAGAAUCUCAAGUUUGGUGACUGGCUGUACGCCGAUGGCCCUAGCCGGUCGAGGCCUGAGCAAAACCCUAGCAGGGCAGAUAAACCUCGUCAGCAAAGGAAGGAUGGCAGCCCUAGUGCUCCAUUGGAUCCUGGCCUCAAGGCUACGGAUCCCGAGACUCUUGACACAGCCACAAGCCUAGUGAAGAACCCAGGUGCAAUUAUGGAGGUUGAUAGAGAUGCAAGAAAGAGAUUGAACAUGGACAGUGCUGGAGAUGAUGCUUUGAACAAACCAAAUAGUAAGGAUGCGGUUUUGGCCAUUAUGGAUGGCAGCGGUCAGGACCUAGGAGAGAAUGCCUCGCCAACGAGCAGCUCUUCUAGCAGUAAACGUGUCAAGUUCACCAAGGAUCAUGCUACCAAUGAGAGAUCGGCGGCUUCCCUCGAGGAAGACCGCCGGACGCAAUGA